UCCGGUGUCCAUGGCGGGCUUGCAACUCACGUUCCCAUCCCGAACACGAUCGAUAAGGGGCCCAGCGACGAUGGUACUGCAUAUUUGACUGUGGGAGAGUAGUUCGAUGCCGGAU
rnacentral:rRNA from 1 species